rnacentral:rRNA from 1 species
GAAUGAUGAAGAAGCUUGCUUCUUCUGAUUUUAGCGGCGGACGGGUGAGUAACACGUGGGCAACCUACCUUGUAGAUUGGGAUAACUCCGGGAAACCGGGGCUAAUACCAAAUAAUCCAUUUUGCUUCAUGGCGAAAUGUUAAAAGGCGGCUUCGGCUGUCACUACGAGAUGGGCCCGCGGCGCAUUAGCUAGUUGGUAGGGUAACGGCCUACCAAGGCGACGAUGCGUAGCCGACCUGAGAGGGUGAUCGGCCACACUGGGACUGAGACACGGCCCAGACUCCUACGGGAGGCAGCAGUAGGGAAUCUUCCACAAUGGACGAAAGUCUGAUGGAGCAACGCCGCGUGAGUGAAGAAGGUUUUCGGAUCGUAAAACUCUGUUGUAAGGGAAGAACACGUACGAGAGUAACUGCUCGUACCUUGACGGUACCUUAUUAGAAAGCCACGGCUAACUACGUGCCAGCAGCCGCGGUAAUACGUAGGUGGCAAGCGUUGUCCGGAAUUAUUGGGCGUAAAGCGCGCGCAGGCGGUCCUUUAAGUCUGAUGUGAAAGCCCACGGCUCAACCGUGGAGGGUCAUUGGAAACUGGGGGACUUGAGUACAGAAGAGGAAAGCGGAAUUCCAAGUGUAGCGGUGAAAUG